GGGGAUAUAGCUCAGUUGGGAGAGUGCUUGUCUUCCAUUCACAUGUCCCUGGGUUCAAUCCCCAGCAUCACGG
rnacentral:tRNA from 1 species